AAUGAUAGAAAAUGGAAUCUUAGACGACUUUCCUAGAUAUUGAUCAAAUUAUUCUGUUAUAUUAUUCAUAAUUUUCCACAUAAGAUCUGAACUGAGGGAUUCAAAGGACGGAGAAUUGCAUCUUAAUAAGCAGCAGCCACUGCCUGUUCACAAUCUGAUGCUCCUGAAGGGCUCAUUUGAGAUUCAUUCAAUAAGAUUGCAAAAUAAUUAAGAAAAUAAAACUCGAACCCGUAGGCUGGCGGUGGGGGACGAGUGAGUGGCUAGCAACGGGAGCGUGGAUCAGCAACAAGACACCAAAAGAAAAGUGACAGCUCGGAGAAUCUUGAAGAUAAAACCAAAUUAAUGACAACUUUCCAAGCACAUCAGCUCACUUCAUUUUGUUUAUGUGGAUGCAUGAGACAAAGACACCAAGAAAGCCAACCCAUUCCCUUGAGGGUCGAGCUUCGCUGCCAAGGAAUCAGGCGACAGGUCAAAAGCAAGCUCAAUUUCACAAAAGCACAUGCAUAAAAAAGAUUAGAGAUUAGUUGUACCAGUAUAAUAUUUUUGUCUGAAGAAGCUUUCAAGAUCUUGUCUUGUCGGUGCCUGUCUAGUUCUGAAUCCCAUGAUUUGAAGCUUCUUCAUGUUAUAAAACUCUACUACUUACUUCAUCCAACCUAGUUGACAGCUAACAGCUAAACUUUCUCCACUCAAUGAGAUCCCUACGAUAUGUUAUCUUUCUGGUUUUCUUCUUCUACUUUGCUCUAGUAGCGCAUGGACGUGCAACAUCCAAUGGAAUAGUGGUGGGUUCCAUUAAAUCCUUCAAUUUGGGGAGAUCCGGGUGUCAAAAAGUUAACGUAGAAUGCGAAAAAGGGGACGGCAGAAAAGAGAAUGUUUUCGAACAUGAAGACUAUGUCUACACUCAAUCUCUUCCUUAAAUAUGUUUCCUACUUCAAAUGCCUGAGAUAAAGGGGAAAUCAAAACCUGUCUCUAUAGCUAGUUAUUCAAGUACCUGCAGCAAUUUACAAGUCAAUUUGAAGCUCCGAACUUCUUUCCUUCGAGGAAACUGCAAGUCCUCUGAAGAUGACGUUUCUGGCUGAGUAAUAAAUUUUGCCUUUGUAUUUGCAAGAAUAAAGGGAAGGACUUGGUGUGAAAAUGGUAGAUGUUAAAGUGCAAAGAAGGAUGGUUUAAAAUAACAUGUUUCAAACAUGAAGAAGGCUGUCUAUAGUCAGCAAUUCUCUUCAGUUGUGGAUAGUCUCAUAACUCAUGCCUUGUAAAUGAUCUAUUUUGACGAGAAAUGUUACACUGCAAACAGCAAGGAUAUACCUUUUAUAAGUAAUGGUAGUUCACUACGAAGAACUUGUUUCA